AUUGAACGCUGGCGGCAUGCUUUACACAUGCAAGUCGAACGGUAACAGGCCGCAAGGUGCUGACAAGUGGCGAACGGGUGAGUAAUGCAUCGGAACGUGCCCAGUCGUGGGGGAUAACUACUCGAAAGAGUAGCUAAUACCGCAUACGAUCUAUGGAUGAAAGCGGGGGACCGUAAGGCCUCGCGCGAUUGGAGCGGCCGAUGUCAGAUUAGGUAGUUGGUGGGGUAAAGGCUCACCAAGCCAACGAUCUGUAGCUGGUCUGAGAGGACAACCAGCCACACUGGGACUGAGACACGGCCCAGACUCCUACGGGAGGCAGCAGUGGGGAAUUUUGGACAAUGGGCGCAAGCCUGAUCCAGCAAUGCCGCGUGCAGGAAGAAGGCCUUCGGGUUGUAAACUGCUUUUGUACGGAACGAAACGGCUCUGGUUAAUACCCGGGGCUAAUGACGGUACCGUAAGAAUAAGCACCGGCUAACUACGUG
rnacentral:rRNA from 1 species